rnacentral:rRNA from 1 species
GAAGGUGGCAAGCGUUGUUCGGUGUUACUGGGCUUAAAGCGUGUGUAGGCGGGAAGGUAAGCGUCUUGUGAAAUCCCUCGGCUUAACCGAGGAAUUGCUUGGCGAACUGCCUUUCUUGAGAGAAGCAGGGGUGCAGGGAACUCUUGGUGGAGCGGUGGAAUGCGUAGAUAUCAAGAGGAACGCCAGUGGUGAAGACGCUGCACUGGGCUUGUUCUGACGCUGAGACACGAAAGCGUGGGGGAGCGAACGGGAUUAGAUACCCCGGUAGUCCACGCCGUAAACGAUGUCUACUAGGUUGUGGAAGUUCUGACACUGUCACAGCCGAAGCAAAAGUGUUAAGUAGACCGCCUGGGGAUACGGCCGCAAGGCUA